rnacentral:rRNA from 1 species
CAGUAGCCACGGUAAUACGUAGGGUGCAAGAGUUAAUCGGAAUUACUGGGCGUAAAACGUGCGCAGGCGGUUAUAUAAGACAGAUGUGAAAUCCCCGGGCUCAACCUGGGAACUGCAUUUGUGACUGUAUAGCUAGAGUACGGCAGAGGGGGAUGGAAUUCCGCGUGUAGCAGUGAAAUGCGUAGAUAUGCGGAGGAACACCGAUGGCGAAGGCAAUCCCCUGGGCCUGUACUGACGCUCAUGCACGAAAGCGUGGGGAGCAAACAGGAUUAGAUACCCCAGUAGUCCCUGUCUCUUAUAC